AGGUUGCUGACAAAGUGCCCGCAGCGGUGAAAACAGGCAGAUCGUAAAGACGCCGUCAAUACAUCCAUGUAGGCUCGAGCCGCGUCAUCCCUGGCACGGACGCUUU
rnacentral:ncRNA from 1 species